rnacentral:lncRNA from 1 species
AAAUGAAAUGGUGAAUCACAAGAUUUCGGUAGAUGUUGUUACUUUUAGUAUAUUGGUGGACGCAUUUUGCAAGGAAGGAAGCAUUAAAGAGGCUGAAGAUAUUUUGGAAGUUAUGAAGCAACAAAACAUUCGUCCCGAUAUUGUCACCUACACUGCACUGAUAGAUGGGUACUGUUUGCAAGGGAAAAUGGAUAAAGCGAAAGAAGUAUUUGAUUCUAUAACGGGCAACGGCCUUAAGCCAUGUAUUAUGAGCUACGGCACUUUAAUCAACGGAUACUGCAAGAAGGGUAAAGUGGAUGAAGCUUGGCGUCUUUUUCUCGAAGUUUCUUCGAAAGGCUUAGAACACACGACAGUUACUUAUAACACCAUGAUGCAUGGAUUAUUUAGUGAAGGCAGAAUUGCCGAUGGAUGGAAACUAUUCAACGAUAUGGAAACUCGGAAAGUACAUCCUAAUUUACGUACUUACAAUACUUUGUUGGAAGGCUUGUGCAAGACUCAUCAGAUUGCCGAAGCAUUUUCGUUUCUACGGGUGAUGGAAGACAAAGGAUUAAGUCCUAAUAUAGUCACAUACGGUAUCCUGAUUAGUGGUUUGUGCAAAGAUGGGAAACUUGAAGAUGCAAAAAAUCUUUUAAACGAACUUCCUUCCAAAGGUUUGCAACCAAAUUGUCAAACGUAUACCAUUGUUAUCGGUUCACUUUGUGAAGAAGGAUUUGUAGACGAGGCAAAAGAUUUGCUUGUGAAAAUGGAGAGGAGUGGCUGUGCACCGGAUAGUGUGACAUACAACAACAUAAUCCAAGGUUUGCUAAAGAGGAAAGAGGUUUACAAGGCAAUGCCAUUCUUAGAGGAAAUGUACAAAAGGGGAUUCUCGGCUGAUGCAGCUACUUCAUUCAUGUUAAUUAAUCACCUGCAAGGAUCAGAGAAACAUGAUUUUCUUCUGGAUAUGAUUAAGAAAGUUGUGCCGAAAUUAUAAAUUAUUUAUUUGGACUUCUGAAGUUUGAUAAGGUUUUAUUAGUUUUUUUUUUUUUUUUUUAAGAAGAAUAGUUAUUGGUUCCCCAAUUCCCCUCCUGGUGUCUCGAACCCAUGACCAAAUAGAUCUAGGUGCAAGGGUGCAAGGUGUUUACCAACAUGCUACCUUGUCAUAAGGUUUUUGAUAAGGCUUUGCUAGCAGGUCGGUCUGGUCUAACUUGUGAGUUUUGCCUUUGUGCACGGUCAUUGUAAUCCUUCAAAGUAUAUUUUGUAGGACAAAAAUGCACUUCACCCCUACAAAUUUCUCAUUUUCGCACUUCCCCCCCUAAAAAUUCAACAACUGGAUAAUCCCCCUUCAAAAUAUUAUUUUGAUUGCACUUUGCCCAAAGGCCAAUUUUUGUUGGGCAUGUGCAACAAAAUAACAUUUUAUAGGGGCAAUGUGCAAAAAUAUAGUGUUUUUAAGGGGUAACGUGCAACAAAAAUGACAUAUGAAGGGGCAAUGUGCAACAAAAAUAUCAAAUGCCGAUAAAUAAUCCAUCAGAAUAUUGUUAUCGAGGUAAUGUGCAACAACAAUAACAUUUUGAAGGGGGGGCAUUCAUUUUUUACAAUUUUGAGGGGGUAAAGUGUGAAAAUUAGAGUUUUUUAGGGGGUGAUGUGCAAUUUGCCCUAUUUUGUAACUAAUUCAAGUUACGUUGAGCCUUAUCAUCUUACUUUUGUUGUGUUUAUUUUUCUUUAUUGGGUAAAUUACAAAAGAACCCCUGUACUGAGCCUGAACUAUGAAAAACAUCGGCACCUACAGUAUUCGUAAUUACCAAAAUUCCCAUACGUUUGUUUUCGUCUUACACCUACCCCUUAUGGUGGGAUUUUUCAUGGAAUCUUUUUGAGUCGAGGGAUUAUUCCUAAAAAAAUGCCAAUUCUACUUCUGUAGACGUGACAUUUCUUUAUGCUACUUUUUAAAGACAAAAAUGAUCCUUAAAGGACCUUUACAUGGAAUUUUUAUUCUUCUUAGUAACACAUUCACAACUCUUUUGUACUAUUACGAAUAGAUGGGGUGUUUUUGUAAUUUAGCCUAAGUUCAGGGGAAUUUUCAUAAUUUACCAUUUAUUAUGACUGACCUUACAUGUAAUAUUCAAUUGAUUUGGUUGCCACAUAUCCCUUGUUUUAAUCAGUUGUUUUAUUUUAUUUUAUAUUUACCUAGGCAGGAAAUUUGAACUUGGGUUAAUUUAGACUUGUUCUUUUGCUCCAACCGCUACACCAUUCACUACAUGGCCAAUUAAAGAAGAUAUUGAUAUAUUGGGAAUUGAUAUGAUACAUCUUUAUAUAUAAAAGAAAGGUUUUCCCGAAACCCUAAAAACAGUUUUUUUUUGAAUAUUUUUGUGAAAUAUUUAUUUCCUUUACUUUCUUCUUUUUCAUAGCGCAUUCGAUAUUAUUUGUUUUUUUUUUCCUUUUUUAAAGAACACGUUUCGGUUUAUUUUAAUUGUUUUCUUUUUCUUUUUUUCUUCUUCCUUUCUUUCCCUUCCCCACUAAACACGUUCAAUUUUUUUUUUUUUCACAUUUUUUAUUUUUAAAAGUAUUUUCUUUCCCUUUUCUUCUUCUAUUUUAUUCUUCGAGCACUAAAUUUUCUCUAUUUUUUUAUAGGACACGUUUUUAAAUUAUUUUGUUUUUCUUUUUUUUUUUUCUUCUUUUUCCCCUUCGACACUAAACACGGUCAACUUUGAAUUUUUUUUUUACGGUUGUUUUUUCUUUUUAAUUUUUUUUUUCCCAUUCUAGCACUAACUUUUCUCUCAUUUUUUUUAUAGCACAUGUGUAUUAAAUUCAUUGUUAAAAUAUAUACAUAGAUUAUGAUUGCAAUUAGUGGAAUUUUUACAUUUUCAGUGUUCCAUUGUCUUGCUAUUGUACAUAUCAUAUAUGUUUACUACAUUCUUAUUUUGUUUAUAUUAUAUUUUUUUUCAAUAUCCACCCGUGCAACGCACGAGGUAAAAUACUAGUUUGAAUAAAAAAAGAGAGCUAAUAUAGUACAAGAUAUAUAAAUUGGGGACUAUAUAAUUAUUUAAUGGGCAAAAUGCACUUUGCCCCCUUAAAAAACUCACAAUUUGCACUUUCCCCCCUAAGAAACCGAAAAAGAGACUCUCCCCCUUCCAAAUUGUGCCCCAGUCGCACUUUGCCCCAAAAUUAGAAUUCCAGUGUUUUUUUUCACCGGAAAUCAAAUUUCUCCAUCAAAUUAGGGGUAUAUGCGUCAAAUCAUCUUUUCCAUCCAUUUAAAAAGAUUUAAGGGUGCAAACGUAUUUUUCCUUAAAAGAAUUUAUUUCUUUGUUUAAUUUUUUUCAUUUACAAAUUAUAGUUUUUAAUGCAAUAUAUUCAACUUUGCAUAAUUCCAAAAAUAUUUUCAUAUUUGUCAUUCAUGUUGCAAAUAUUUUCAUUAUUGUUUAAUAAAGUUUUAAUAGUAUUGAAAUUUAAAGAAACAAAAUGCAAAAAUAUAAAUUCAAUAUAACUGGAAAAAAAAAAAGAAAAAAAAAAUAGUAAUCUUCUUCCCGUGGCACCUCCCCCACCAAUUUCGACCGCCAAACAACUCUGCAUCCACCUUCUGUUCCGCCACCAGCAGCCACGCAACACCACCACACCACAGUUGCUACAGCACCACGAAGAACUCAGCCCAGAUCCGGAUAAUCCGCCUUCUAACAUUAAAUUCAAACAAUCCAUCGUCGAACAUAGCACAUAUGAUUUUAGGUGGGCGAAUAAAUUGGAGUUAUUUAUGUGCAAUUAACGUCGUCGUCUUCCUUGUUGCAGAAAUGGUCGAUUUUGGUGAUGCAGAAGGCGGGAGCGACAUCAAUCGAGCUGCAAAAUUUAAUAAUGGGAAUACGAAAAUUGAGCAACAAUGGUGUGGGCGUAAUGAAGGUUAUGGCUGUGGCGAAGAAAACUAGUGUUUUGAAGAACUUGAAAAUAGUGAGAGCAAGCAUUAGUUGAUGGGUCUUUUGCUCUAGAGCUGAUGACGAUUUUUUAUGAUGAUGAAGUGCGGUGGCAGAGGUGGUGGUGGUGCGGUGGUGGGAAGAAGGAAGGGGGUUAGGGUUCUUAAGAAAGUUCUAAAUUGCAAUUUAGGAGGAGGAAUUUAUACUCAGGUGAAAAUUUUAAAAGAAAAACAUAUAUACCCUAAAAUGACGCAUAUACCCCUUAAGUGCACGGAGAUAUUUGAAAUCCGGUGAAAAAAACACUGCAAUUCGAAUUUUGGGGCAAAGUGCAACUGGGACACAAUUUGGAAGGGGGAGAGUCUCUUUUUCGGUUUCUUAGGGGGGAAAGUGCAAAUUGUGAGUUUUUUAAGGGGGCAAAGUGCAUUUUGCCCUUAUUUAAUAUUGUUAGUACCUAACAAAAUAUUUAAAAAGUAUUAAUGGCAUUUUGCCCCCAAACUCUGGAUUGUUUCGCACAUUACCCCCUAGACUAAAAAAAAGUUGCACACCCUAAACUCUAUUAUUUGUAGCACCGAUCACGUAAUUGACUAUUUCCGGCCAAAACUUCUCCUGAAAUGCGAGUGUAGUCGUAGCUUUGAUCAAAUAGCUAACUACGUACGCAUUAACUUUGGUGGUGGAUCGUCGGAGCUUCAAUUAGCUGGCUAAGCAUUAGUCUUUUUUUCUUUUUUUGGGUAAAAGGAACCCGCAUCCAACCAUAUAGGUGCAAUGGAUAAACCUACCUCUUGUUUAAAAACUUGCAAAUCAUAUGAGAAACGUGAAUCACACUAGGCAAAUCAUGUAUGACAACCAUGUGUGGCUAAGCAUUAGUUCACUUUAGCACUAGUUAACUAAAUUGGAUCUCCGAUAACCCACCAGCGAAAAAAAAAGUUCAAAAAAAUAGUUGAAUGUUAGCUAUUGUUGAAGUCAGCUAAUAAGAAGUCAACUAAUGCGGAGUCAGCAAAUUAAAACAUCCGACAACCUAUUGCCGAGAAAAAAAAAGGGUUGGGAAAAGAAAAACUAACGUCAACCAAUGUUGAAUUCAACUAGUGCUUCGUCAACUAAUCAGAGCCACGACAACCCGUCGCCCGAAAAUACUCAAUUACGAUGAAUAAUUCAUCGGAAUUUUGCUAUCGGGGCAAUGUGCAACAAGAAUAACAUUUUAAAGGGGGCAGUCACUUUAAAAAAACAAUAGGGGUAAUGUGCGAAAAUUAGAAAUUAAAAAUUAGAAAUCAAAAAACAAAAACAACAAAAAAACAAAAAAAAUAAUAAAAAAAUAAAAAAAUUCGGUAGUCUCCGAGCCUUCUUCUUCUUCUGUAGGUACCAGUUCAUUCUUCACUGAAAUUAUCUUCAUAAAAUUGCUGAAAAAAAUGAGAGGAACUGAAAUGCUGAUUCGUAGAGCAUUAUUCGCUAAAUCUUCCCACCAUUACGCUAUUUUUACUUAUCCCUUUUCUUUCUUCUGUUCAAAUUUUCAUAGUGUGAGUCACAAAGAUCGAUCCUUUUCACCUAAACCCAGAAUAGAUUUGAGUUGUAUAAAUGAAUUAGAUGAUGCUGUUUUCUUGUUUCGUCAAAUGGUUAGAAUGCAGCCACAGCCUUCCGUUUUUAAAUUCACCAAACUACUGCAAGUUAUUUUCAAGAUGAAGCAAUAUUCGGUUGCCCUUAAACUGUUCGACGAAAUGCGUCAAUGGGGUGCCCCUAUAGAUGAGUACACAAUGACCAUCUUAAUUAAUUGUUGCUGCCUUUUGAAACGCGUAGACAUUGGUUUUGCUAUCUUCGGCUGCUUCUUUAAACUCGGACACAAGCCAGGUGUUACGACAUUCAACACUCUCCUAAAAGGAUUCUUUUUAGAUGGUAAUGUGGCCGAGGCAGAGAAAUUGUUCAAGAAGAUCUUGACUUUGAAUCUUUGUGAGCCAGACGAUGUUACGAUUCUAACUGCGAUUGAUGGGCUCUGCAAAGCUGGACGUGUUCAUACUGCCCGUGAUUUGCUUUUGUUGUUGGAAAAAACUACUAUCUAUAAACCCGAUGUUAAGGCUUAUAACGCUGUAAUAAAUGGCUUAUGCAAGACCGGAAUGGUGGAUAAUGCACUCGAGCUGAAGUCUAGAAUGAUUGAUAAGGGCAUUUCACCUGACGUUGUCACAUAUAACUCGAUGAUUCAGGGCUUGUGCGAUUUUGGUAGAUGGAAAGAGGUGAAGGAUUUAUUAAAUGAAAUGGUGAAUCACAAGAUUUCUUUAACUGUUGUUACUUUUACUGUAUUGGUGGACGCAUUUUGCAAGGAAGGAAAUGUUAAAGAGGCUCGGGAGGUAUUGGAAAUUAUGAAGCAACAAAACAUUCGUCCCGAUAUUGUCACCUACACUGCACUGAUAGAUGGGUAUUGUUUGCAAGGGAAAAUGGAUAAAGCGAAAGAGGUAUUUGAUUCCAUAGCGAGCAGCGGCCUUAAGCCGUGUAUUAUCAGCUAUAACUCUUUAAUCAAUGGGUAUUGCAAGAACGGAAAAGUUGAUGAAGCUUGGCGUCUUUUUCUCGAAGUUUCUUCGAAAGGCUUAGAGCACACAAUAACUACCUAUAACAUCAUGAUACAUGGACUUCUUAGUGAAGGUCGAAUUAAUGAUGGAUGGAAACUUUUCAAUGAUAUGGA